UGUGUGAAUGUUUAUCCUGAAAGGUAACUGAAUGAAUGUCACAGGUGUACAGUGAUUUCCUUUUUCCCUGCAGAAGUCACAGUUUCAGGAGGUUUUUUCAUCUCACUGCAAGAAUGUCCACCCUAAGGCAGCCAAUUACAUUAAAGAAAAUUGGAUUACAUGUGGUCAGAUGUGGUCGUCCUUUGGAAGGCGGUUCUUCCAUGAGGACAGUGAAACAAAUAAUUUAGCUGAACGAUACCUUGAUGGGCUGCAAGAAGCUGGACGUUUGACCAACCCAAGGGCAGAGAAGGAGUCAACAGGUCUUAGGGCAGCUGAGGAACUUCUUCAAAAGGGCUGGAUAGAGCGAUGUCACUGGAUGGAUGACUACAGAUGCCUUGUACCGUCAACCAGCAGAGAAAACUGGUGGUACACUGUGGUUCUUCCAGAGUACACUUGUGAAUGUGUUGCAGCUUCUAAUGGAGGUCUUUGCAAACACCUCCACAUUGCUUUGGAAGCUGCAAAACAAAAGGGUCUUGACGUGGACUCUAUGCAGAAGAGACUUGUCCAGGAGCUGCUUCAGUGGGGAAAGACUUCCCAGUGCAAAGACAUGGUCUUAGUUGAGAGGUUUUUUUUUUCAAAUGUGUUUAGCUGCAUUGAUGUUAAGUACAAGAAAUGUUCCUGCAUUGCAGCUAGCCAUGGGAGAUUGUGCAUCUGUACUCAAGUUUUUAAUAGAAUCUUUGCAGACACUGAUGUACAGGACCUAGAAGAGCAGACCCCACAUGACCUUGUAGAAGCUUGCCAGAGCAAUGCCACACAGCAAAUUAUUGAAAGACUUUACUUAUGGUCCAAGGGUACAGACUUUCAUGAAACAGCAGAAUUAAAACAAACCUUGGAAAAAGCACAGCAAAUUGCUUUUGGAAAUUUUGAGUCAAAAUAUAGUCAGAGAAGGAUCCAUGUAUUGCACCCAUGGAGAAAAAACAAGCAAAAUCGAUUUGUAAUGAAAUAUCACAAUUAUUAUAAGUCCAAAAAUACCAAACAUUUUUAAAACUGAGAACAUCGACAGGAAUUUUACCAUUAGCAGCCAUAAGAGGAAAUGAAAUGAAAUGAAAUGUCUGUUGUCAGAAAGCCAUGUACUGAUGUUUUUCAGCUCUGCACUCAAGAUGCUCUCUGCUGUGUCUUUGUUCUUAUUGGACACCAGAAGAGCAGAGUCAUCAGCAUAAAGAAAAAGUUGGCAGGAGAAAACUGAUUUUAUGUCAUUAACAUGAAACAGCAAGAACAGCAACGGAUCCAGCACACUUCCUUGGGGAACUCCACAUGUUAUGGCUUUAUCUACUGAAGGUGAAGGGAUCUAACUGGACCCCUUUGUCUUCAUAGAAAUUAUGUUCUUGAGUACUCCAGAAUUGGCUGGAAGUGUGGUAACUAGGUUGUUAGCAACUGUAGUAAACUAUAUUCAAUUCAUUGGCUACCUGUUCUCUAUCAAAUACGUUACCCUCCAAUCAAAUGCUACUGGCUUUAUUUACACUACUGCCAGUAGAACCCAUUUCUUUGAGCGAUUGCCACAACUUUUGUUUCUUUAACGUUCCAUUUUUUUUACGCUCUCUGUAAAUACUGUUCCUGGAGUCUGCUCCCAUUCAUGUGCCUAAAUAAUAAAAAUCACCAUCACAAAGAAAGCACAAGUAAUUGAGAAUCAUCAAAUGUGCAUAGAGUGAUAAUCUACUUAGA